rnacentral:tRNA from 1 species
GGGUAUAGCUCAGUUGGUAGAGUGCUUGCCAAGCAUGCACAAGGCCUUGGGUUCAAUCCCCAGUACCACCA